GCAAAUUCGGGGCCGGCGGCCGGGGUAAAGCGAAGGGGGCUAGGGUUGCUGGGAAUCACUGGGCGUAAAGCGCACGUAGGCGGCUUUUUAAGUCAGGGGUGAAAUCCUGGAGCUCAACUCCAGAACUGCCUUUGAUACUGAGAAGCUUGAGUCCGGGAGAGGUGAGUGGAACUGCGAGUGUAGAGGUGAAAUUCGUAGAUAUUCGCAAGAACACCAGUGGCGAAGGCGGCUCACUGGCCCGGUACUGACGCUGAGGUGCGAAAGCGUGGGGAGCAAACAGGAUUAGAUACCCUUGUAGUC
rnacentral:rRNA from 1 species